rnacentral:misc_RNA from 1 species
AAAAAUCAUGGCGAGGCGUUGCAUGUCGUUUUCUCGAACACUUCUCUCCAGCUGUAGGCCAUCAACAGUAAGUUCCUCACCAAGUGUACAAUCCCUUCUCGGCCAGCGCCUUCAGUCUCGCCGUUCUCUUUCCACCAUUCUCACCAGGACUAACGGAGUUCUGGGAUGCGCCCAAUCGCUCUUACCGCUUCACAGCGCUGUGGCAGCCACCCGUCUGACAUCACACAUUCAAAUGGAGGCGCGCACUUGUUGCCAGUUGUCUCAGGGUACCUUUUUCUGUCGCACUUGCCCUGAUCGGUAGUUUUCAAUUGUACUUAAGG